CUGACAUAUGUGACACGGCGGUGGCCCAUCUAUCUGGCGCGCGCACGCCAUCGCGGUCCUUGCCUUGCUCCACAAGUGGUGCAUACGCAUACGUAGGAUUGAGAACCAGGAAAGAAAAAGUUAGCUAUAGAGGUAGCUUUUCUCAGACGCUCUGCUGUAGUACCUUAGAUGAUGUCACGGUGCGCUGCAGCGGUGACUGCCUCUCCGGCGACGCCUUGCGAGUCUUCCCUGCGGACCUCAGGCGCCAAUGCACAAGACGCCAACGCGAGCGACACCUGCGAUGGUGUCGCUGAGGCCUCCCAUCGCACACCUACAGGACAUCGCCGUCAGCGCAGGUCCUGGACCCAAGAAGAGAAGCGCGCCUUUUGGAAGCAGAAGAAGUUAGAGAAGAGGGGACGCAGGAAAGCCGCCGCUGCUGACCGGCAGAAGGAGCAGCAGGCGCAGUGGGUGCGCCUGACGGAGAAGAGAAGGAGGCUCGCCGCGCUGAGGCGGUGCUGCUCCACGAGAGGCGUCGGCAGGCAGAAACGGCGCUGGUGAAUCGGUGCAAGGCCCAGCUUGCCGAUCCUCAUGUGCCGACGAUUGUCUUCGACCUCAGCUUUGCGUGGUGCAUGACGGAGGCAAACACAAAGAGCACCGUGUCGCAGGUGAUGCUGAGCUACAGCGCCCUGCGCACUGCCGGCUUUCCCUUCCGCCCCGUCAUCACAUCGCUGAUGGGCAAGGAGGCCAGUGACACCGAGCACGACGCGACCGCCCAAGCCAAAGUGCUGCAGGCUCUCAACAACUACGAGGGCUUCCGCCGAUUUCCACCUAGUGUGACGCAGGUGCAGCACUGGAGUGAACUCUUUGCGCCGAGUCAAGUCGUUUUCCUCACCGCUGACUCGCCGGACACCUCACCAGCAUCGAGCCAGAUACGGCGUACAUUGUCGGUGCCUUCGUCGACCACAACGCGCACAAGGGUUUGAGUUACGCCUCCGCGCAACGCCACGGCGUGCGCACGGCUCGGUUGCCCAUCAAGGAGAGUGUUGUCCUCGGCAACCGGUGCAAGGUGCUGACGAUCAAUCACUUGGUGGAGGUGCUCAUUCAGUAUGAGAAGCUGCGCGCCGCCGGGACUCCAAACUGGGCACAGGCGAUCAACGGCGCGCUGCCGACGCGCCGCGCUCAGCAAGUGAUCAAAGGACGACGAAAACGUUGGCGAGUGAGCGUGACAGGAUCAGGUGACGAGGAGGGCGAUGAUGAAGAGGUUAGUGAUGACGGUUGCUCAAAUUGCAGGCUGGACAGCGAAAACGGUUCUGCAGCUGCUGAGGAGUGCCCGUGCGAGAGGGUCGAAUAGUUCGGCCUACCUUCCGCACGAAGUCUGUGGCAUGCUGUAUUGAGCAGCUGCGUGCCGUGUGCGGGGCGACGUGCCCACGGAGUCCAAUUGGCGGCUCCCCCUUUCCCAGGACGGAGGCAUCCCGCCUUGUGACGAGGAAUGCCAGACGCAUCACUCGCCUCUUUAGGACCCUCACGUCCGUUGUCACGUCACUGCGAACGCAAAACGCACACGCACACGUCGAAAAGAGUCACAUUCGACUGGAUCACUCGUGCGAAGCAACAAC
rnacentral:misc_RNA from 1 species